CGUGUAGGCGGUUUGUUUAGUCUGAUGUGAAAGCCCUGGGCUCAACCCAGGAAGUGCAUUGGAUACUGGCAGACUUGAAUACGGGAGAGGGUAGUGGAAUUCCUAGUGUAGGAGUGAAAUCCGUAGAUAUUAGGAGGAACACCGGUGGCGAAGGCGGCUACCUGGACCGAUAUUGACGCUGAGACGCGAAAGCGUGGGUAGCAAACA
rnacentral:rRNA from 1 species